AGGACGAACGCUGGCGGCGUGCUUAACACAUGCAAGUCGAGCGAGGCUCCUCCUUCGGGAGGAAGCCCUAGCGGCGAACGGGUGAGUAACACGUGGGCAACCUGCCCCUAGCACUGGGAUAACCCCGGGAAACCGGGGCUAAUACCGGAUACGACUUCGGAAGGCAUCUUCUGAAGUGGAAAAGGUUACUGGCUAGGGAUGGGCCCGCGGCCUAUCAGCUUGUUGGUGGGGUAAUGGCCCACCAAGGCGACGACGGGUAGCCGGCCUGAGAGGGCGACCGGCCACACUGGGACUGAGACACGGCCCAGACUCCUACGGGAGGCAGCAGUGGGGAAUAUUGCACAAUGGGCGAAAGCCUGAUGCAGCGACGCCGCGUGAGGGAUGACAGCCUUCGGGUUGUAAACCUCUUUCAGCAGGGACGAAGCGAAAGUGACGGUACCUGCAGAAGAGCACCGGCCAACUACGUGCCAGCAGCCGC
rnacentral:rRNA from 1 species